rnacentral:rRNA from 1 species
UACGGAGGGGGCUAGCGUUGUUCGGAAUUACUGGGCGUAAAGCGUACGUAGGCGGCUUUGUAAGUUAGAGGUGAAAGCCCGGGGCUCAACUCCGGAAUUGCCUUUAAGACUGCAUCGCUAGAAUUGUGGAGAGGUAAGUGGAAUUCCGAGUGUAGAGGUGAAAUUCGUAGAUAUUCGGAAGAACACCAGUGGCGGAAGGCGACUUACUGGACACAUAUUGACGCUGAGGUGCGAAAGCGUGGGGAGCAAACAGG